CCGACGGUGAGGGACGAAAGCUAGGGUCUCGAACCGGAUUAGAUACCCGGGUAGUCCUAGCCGUAAACAAUGCCUGCUAGGUGUGGCUCCCACUACGAGUGGGUGCUGUGCCGUAGGGAAGCCGCUAAGCAGGCCGCCUGGGAAGUACGUCCGCAAGGAUGAAACUUAAAGGAAUUGGCGGGGGAGCACUGCAACCGGAGGAGCCUGCGGUUUAAUUGGACUCAACGCCGGACAUCUCACCAGCAUCGACUGUAGUAAUGACGAUCAGGUUGAUGACCUUAUCCGAGCUUCAGAGAGGAGGUGCAUGGCCGCCGUCAGCUCGUACCGUGAGGCGUCCUGUUAAGUCAGGCAACGAGCGAGACCCGCAUCCUUACUUGCCAGCAGCACUGCGAAGUGGCUGGGGACAGUAGGGAGACCGCCGUGGCCAACACGGAGGAAGGAACGGGCAACGGUAGGUCAGUAUGCCCCGAAUGUGCUGGGCAACACGCGGGCUACAAUGGUCAGGACAAAGGGUUCCUACUCCGAAAGGAGACGGUAAUCUCAGAAACCUGAUCGUAGUUCGGAUUGUGGGCUGCAACUCGCCCACAUGAAGCUGGAUUCGGUAGUAAUCGCGUGUCAUAAGCGCGCGGUGAAUACGUCCCUGCUCCUUGUACACACCGCCCGU
rnacentral:rRNA from 1 species